CGGCGCGCACCGUGAGCGAGCGCCAGGCCGGCCCGGCCUCGAAGUCCAAGGGACGCGCCAGGUACAGGCGACCAGACACCGAGUCCAGGGCGAAGGUACCCUCGGGGUCGGCGCCACCCACCAGAGUGUAGGUUCUGCAUCAGGUGUGAGUGACAAGAGUGAGAACGUCACACAUCUUCCCAUGACUUCCCAGUCAAGCCUCUGAAUCUACAGAAUGGCAGCCAGGAUGAGUUACAGCCUCAGUACUCAGUGGAUAUAAACAAGCUCUUGCUUCUCACACGACCCAGCUAUUCUGAAACCGGAUUUCCUCUUUCCGGGUUCCCACAGAGGUCCACUUUUGACAACAAAAGCUUCCAGGAAAUUCCCCCAGGCUUAACUUUCUAAUGCUUCACUCUCCAUCAGCCGUCCUCUUCACACCCUCUACCAAGAGGAAGGAACUUAUCUGGAAGGCCAACAUCCUGUCAGAUGCCUACACCCCAUCUAUGUGCAGGGUGGUGGUGCAUCUCUUUGAGUCCACAGUCAAAACUCAUUCAGAGGUUGAGGAAAACACAUAAAUGGAAUGUGUGAACUUGCCUAAAAACAAUGCUUGCGGUAUUCCCCCAGUUAAUGGCUAAGGGAGGGAACUUUUCUUCAGCUCCUGUAAGCAGGCCUAACGAAACUCACCAGAUCAUAAACACAAGCACACACAAACCCAUGAAAGUGGAAGGGGGACUAGGUAAAGAGGAACAAUGGUGUGUAUGUGGUGGUGGUGGUGAAUAUGAUCAAAAUACAUUAUAACUUAUAUAUCAUAAAAAACGAAAUGAAAGGGGCUGGGCUGGAGAGAUGGCUCAGCGGUUAAGAGCACUAGCUGAUCUUCCAGAAGUCCUGAGUUCAAUUCCCAGCAACCAUAUGGUGGCAAUGGGCUCUGAUGCCCUCUUCUGGAACACAAGCAUACAUGCAGACAGUGCACUCAUACCAAACGACAACAAAAACAAAACAAAAAGCCCCAAACAAAAAAGAAAUCCCAAGGGGUGGGUCUCUAGGCUGGAUAUCAAUCACAGUCACCAUAGGAAGCUAGUAGUCAAGAGAUAUAGGGCUCAUCUAAAUAAGUGGUAAGAUAAGCAAACCAAGCCAGGCAGUUGACGCCUUUAAUUCCAGCAUUCAGGAGGCCAUCCUGAAGAAACCAUCUCAAAAAAAUAAAAAACAAAAGAUAAGCAACCGGCCCUGUGUGGUGGUGAACACUGGAAGGCCCAGCACUUGGGAGGCAGGGACAGGAGGACAGCUGUUAUGUUGGCUGCAGCCUGGAUUACAUCGUAAGACUCCCCUCCCCCACCAAUAAGUAAAGCAAAACUGACCCAAGAUUCAGAAACACAAGCUGCGAAUUUACUAUCUUAGGUGCCUCUCACUUUCCAGAAAUCCCAGGAAAGGAAAGAAAA